rnacentral:sRNA from 1 species
UGAGGGCGAUCCGGCUGCGACAUCUGUCACCCCAUUGCUUCCCAGGGUUGAUUCGGCUGACCUGGCUGGCUAGGCAGGUGUCCCCUUCCUCCCUCA